CCGAUCCCAUUCAUUGAUGGACUUUUAUAACUGACUUGUGUGGAGGAAGCAGGCUCAGAAGGAAUGAAAUGAAACCUGCUUCAUCAACAGCAUUCUCUGGAGAUUUUCAGAACAUUAUCUUCCUCUCUGAUUUAGCUGGUCAAACAAGAUGACGACUGAAUGAAGCACGGAUUUGGCAACAUGGAAGGCACUGGUGGGAUGGGAAAAUGCCGGGAAAGUGCCAUGAGUUGACAUAUCAGAAGUCAGUCUAUGUACACCAAAACUGCCAUGCUGGAGAAACCACGUAAGAGACCACAUAGAGCCAGAGAUGCCAAAGACACCAGCUGUACCAGGCUCCAGCUCUCUAACUCUUCCCAACAAGGAUGAGGAAACAUGUGAGUGACCCAGGCUUCAGAAGAUUCCAGGCCCCAGUCUUCAAGCUGCUCUAGCCAAUGCCAAGGAGAGGAGACAAGUUGCCCUCUACCAAGUCCUUCCCAAAUUGCAAAUUUAGGAGGAAAAUAAAUAUUA